UAGGGAAUCUUCGGCAAUGGGGGCAACCCUGACCGAGCAACGCCGCGUGAGUGAAGAAGGCUUUCGGAUCGUAAAGCUCUGUUGUAAGAGAAGAACGUGUGUGAGAGUGGAAAGUUCACACAGUGACGGUAACUUACCAGAAAGGGACGGCUAACUACGUGCCAGCAGCCGCGGUAAUACGUAGGUCCCGAGCGUUGUCCGGAUUUAUUGGGCGUAAAGCGAGCGCAGGCGGUUUAAUAAGUCUGAAGUUAAAGGCAGUGGCUUAACCAUUGUUCGCUUUGGAAACUGUUAAACUUGAGUGCGGAAAGGGAGAGUGGAAUUCCAUGUGUAGCGGUGAAAUGCGUAGAUAUAUGGAGGAACACCGGUGGCGAAAGCGGCUCUCUGGUCUGUAACUGACGCUGAGGCUCGAAAGCGUGGGGAGCAAACAGG
rnacentral:rRNA from 1 species